UACGAAGGGGGCUAGCGUUGUUCGGAAUUACUGGGCGUAAAGGGCGCGUAGGCGGUUGCUCAAGUCAGGCGUGAAAGCCCCGGGCUCAACCUGGGAAUUGCGCUUGAGACUGGGCGGCUUGAGUUCGGGAGAGGUGAGUGGAAUUCCCAGUGUAGAGGUGAAAUUCGUAGAUAUUGGGAAGAACACCGGUGGCGAAGGCGGCUCUCUGGGACGGUACUGACGCUGAGACGCGAAAGCGUGGGGAGCGAACAGG
rnacentral:rRNA from 1 species